GGGGGGACAAUGGGGAUAUGGGGGGCAAUGGGGACAUUGGGGGCAAUGGGGACAUUGGGGUGGGGGGGACAAUGGGGUUAUGGGGGGCAAUGGGGACAUUGGGGACAAUGGGGACAUUGGGGAUAUUGGGACAAUGGGGAUAUGGGGUCACGGGGACGUUGGGGAUAAUGGGGACAGUGGGGACAGUGGGGAUAUGGCGAUAAUGGGGGCUACACAGGGGACAAUGGGGGGACAAUGGGGUUAUGGGGACAUUGGGGGUAUUGGGGAUAUGGGGGACAUUGGGGGGCAAUGGGGACAUUGGGGAUAUGGGGCCAAUGGGAACAGUGGGGGGGACAUUAUGGGUAUGGGGGACAAUGGGGAAAAAUGGGGGGAAAUGAGGGAAAAAUGGGGAGAUAUGGCUAAAAAUGGCCCAAAAUGGGGACAAAUGGGCACAAAUGGGGACAAAUGGCCCCACAUGGCCCCAAAUGGGGACAAUGGGGACAAAUGGCCCCAAAGGGCACCAAAAUGGAGACAAAUGGGGACAAAUAGGGAUAAAUGUGGACAAAUGGCCCCAAAAUGGCCCAAUAUGGCCCCAUAUGGGGACAAAUGGCCCCAAAUGGCCCCAAAAUGGGGACAAAUGGGGACAAAUGGCCCCAAAAUGGCCCAAUAUGUCCCCAUAUGGGGACAAAUGGCCCCAAAAUGGUGCAAUAUGGCCCCAAAAUGGGGACGGAUGGGGACAAAUGGCCCAAUAUGGCCCCAUAUGGGGACAAAUGGCCCCCAAUGGCCCCAAAAUGGGGACAAAUGGGGACAGAUGGGGACAGAUGGAGACAAAUGGCCCAAUAUGACCCCAUACGGGAACAAAUGGCCCCAAAUGUCCCCAAAAUGGGGACAAGUGGGGACAGAUGGGGACAAAUGGCCCCAAAAUGGCCCAAUAUGGCCCCAUACGGGGAAAAAAUGGCCCCAAAAUGGGGACAUAUGGGGACAAAUGGCCCAAUAUGGCCCCAUAUGGGGACAAAUGGCCCCCAAUGGCCCCAAAAUGGGGACAAAUGGGGACAGAUGGGGACAGAUGGAGACAAAUGGCCCAAUAUGGCCCCAAAUGGCCCCAAA
rnacentral:lncRNA from 1 species